rnacentral:rRNA from 1 species
UUUAAAUUGAGAGUUUGAUCCUGGCUCAGGACGAACGCUGGCGGCGUGCCUAACACAUGCAAGUCGAGCGGAGAAUGCGGAUAUGUUUACAUGGAAGCGUUCUUAGCGGCGGACGGGUGAGUAACACGUGGGUAACCUG